rnacentral:rRNA from 1 species
GACAGAGGGUGCAAACGUUGUUCGGAAUUACUGGGCGUAAAGCGAGUGUAGGCGGUCUUGAAAGUCGGAUGUGAAAGCCCUGGGCUCAACCCAGGAAGUGCAUUCGAUACUGCCAUGACUAGAGUUCGGUAGGGGAGUGUGGAAUUCCUGGUGGAGCGGUGAAAUGCGCAGAUAUCAGGAGGAACACCCGUAGCGAAGGCGGCACUCUGGGCCGAUACUGACACUGAGGAGCGAAAGCGUGGGGAGCGAACAGG